UAAAAGCAAAUGAAAAGAUGAGUAACCGAAUUUAUUAUUCCCAGAGAGUUAUCGCAAGGUGCAAGAUAACAAUAAUCAGUCGGUGAAAAUGGUCUUGGAUGCAAUCUAGGCUUAAGCCAGUCGAAUACCUAGCGGGUACGCCCGAUAACGCGUUAGGGUAUGCACAGUGCGCGCACUGUAAGUACCUGAAGAGGAAUGGUUCGUGAGAAUUGUUUAAAUCAAGGUGGUAACGCGGAAAAGCACUUUCGCCCUUGUC
rnacentral:ncRNA from 1 species